rnacentral:pre_miRNA from 14 species
CACCUGUUGUUCUCUCUGUGUGUAUUGUAGUCAAGUGCUCAGAUGUCUGUGGUGGCUGCUUAUGUAUCACGGAUGUUUGAGCAUGUGCUAUGGUAUCUACUUUUACAACAUUGCCAUCU